UUGAACGUCUAGCUCAGUGGUAGAGUCCCGACGCAGUCGGGAUUAACCGAUUGGUCGUAGGUUCGAAUCCUACCGCUGGAGCCA
rnacentral:tRNA from 1 species